rnacentral:tRNA from 1 species
UAAGUAGAAGCUAAAUUAUAGCGCCUAGCUGUUAAUUAGGAGUUAGUAAAUUAAAGUUUUACCUACUUAG